GAUGAACGCUGGCGGCGUGCCUAAUACAUGCAAGUCGAGCGGUAAGGCUUUCACUCUGUAUUUAAAUUAUUGAAUAUAGUGUGAAAGUACACGAGCGGCGGACGGCUGAGUAACGCGUAGGAAUGUACCCCAAAGUGAGGGAUAAGCACCGGAAACGGUGUCUAAUACCGCAUGUGAUCUUCGGAUUAAAGCUUUAUGCGCUUUGGGAACGGCCUGCGUAAGAUUAGCUUGUUGGUGAGGUAAUGGCUUACCAAGGCGAUGAUCUUUAGCUGGUCUGAGAGGAUGAUCAGCCAGACUGGGACUGAGACACGGCCCAGACUCCUACGGGAGGCAGCAGUAGGGAAUUUUCCACAAUGGACGAAAGUCUGAUGGAGCAACGCCGCGUGCAGGAUGAAGGCCUUCGGGUUGUAAACUGCUUUUAUUUGUGAAGAUUAUGACGGUAGCAGAUGAAUAAGGAUCGGCUAACUCCGUG
rnacentral:rRNA from 1 species